rnacentral:lncRNA from 1 species
GUUUUACCAAUGCACCAUCAUAUCAUACGAAGGUAGAAAUUAAUAUAACAUGCUAAAUAUACCGAUUCUAACCCAAUUGCAAUAAGUUCAAAUGUUUUACCAAACAAAACAAAAAAAAAAAAUACCCUUGCAAUAAACAUUUAGAAUUUUCAAAGAAUGGUAGUUGGGCUGGCGAAGAUUAUCUAUGUCAGGAUUUAUCCAAAAUCACAGGAUGGUUAUGAACUGAUAGAGUAAAAAAGAGAAGAGAAAGUGCCACAUACAAUCC